GAUGAACGCUGGCGGCGUGCCUAAUACAUGCAAGUCGAGCGAACGGACGAGAAGCUUGCUUUUCUGAUGUUAGCGGCGGACGGGUGAGUAACACGUGGAUAACCUACCUAUAAGACUGGGAUAACUUCGGGAAACCGGAGCUAAUACCGGAUAAUAUUUUGAACCGCAUGGUUCAAAAGUGGAAGACGGUCUUGCUGUCACUUAUAGAUGGAUCCGCGCUGCAUUAGCUAGUUGGUAAGGUAACGGCUUACCAAGGCAACGAUGCAUAGCCGACCUGAGAGGGUGAUCGGCCACACUGGAACUGAGACACGGUCCAGACUCCUACGGGAGGCGGCAGUAGGGAAUCUUCCGCAAUGGGCGAAAGCCUGACGGAGCAACGCCGCGUGAGUGAUGAAGGUCUUCGGAUCGUAAAACUCUGUUAUUAGGGAAGAACAUAUGUGUAAGUAACUGUGCACAUCUUGACGGUACCUAAUCAGAAAGCCACGGCUAACUACGUG
rnacentral:rRNA from 1 species